rnacentral:rRNA from 1 species
UACGAAGGGGGCUAGCGUUGUUCGGAAUUACUGGGCGUAAAGCGCGCGCAGGCGGAUCCUGCAAGUCGGAAGUGAAAUGUGGCUGCUCAACGGCCACGCUGCUUCCGAUACUGCGGAUCUGGGGACCGGUAGAGGCUGGUGGAAUUGCAGGUGUAGCGGUGGAAUGCGUAGAGAUCUGCAAGAACACCCGUGGCGAAGGCGGCCAGCUGGGCCGGAUCCGACGCUGAGGCGCGAAAGCGUGGGGAGCAAACAGG